rnacentral:lncRNA from 1 species
AGCGUGCACUGGGCGCUCCUCGGCGCGUCUGCCCGGCCCGUCUCGGCUUUCCUUCUCCUUCCUCUAGUCCCAGCGUCACAACUCCGCCGACCUCCUCUGCCCUGAGAGCGCGUCCGGUGCGGGCGGAGUCGGACGGACUCUGGCUUCACGCCUCGCGCGGGCACACCUUCUCCCGGGCACUGAGGCCCAGUUAUUAGGGGAGGCAGAGUCCUUCUGGAGUUUGACCCUUGGAUUCCAUCCAGAGCAGCCUCCAAAAUGACACCUUUGAAGUUGUGUAUCGAGCUGGGGGAUGUAAAGGGAGGAGAAGAAAGAAGAUGAAGAGAUACCAGCCAGCCUUAAGGAGUGGACAUCCUGCCUGGUGAAACUGAACAAGACACCUACCGCAUAUGGAGUUUCGCUCUGUCGCCCAGGCUGGAGUGCAGUGGUGCCAUCUCGGCUCACCGCAACCUCCACCUCCAGGUUCAAGUGAUUCUCCUGCCUCAGCCUCUCAAGUAGCUGGGAUUACAGGAGCCCUCUCCCACCGCUCCUACACUGCUGGUAAAAGGCAGCCGCACUGCCUGCUGGAAGACCUGC